AGAAGCGUUGUCGUCGGUGGUCC
rnacentral:snRNA from 1 species